CGAAAACCGAGGGUGACCAUUCUGGACGACGAGACGAUCUGGAUGAAAAGAUUGAUUGAGAUUAGUAUUAUCCAAUCUUAUAUUUCUUUCUUCUCGCCAUUCCCUGUGUAAUGUAUUGACUGUGUCUUUAUGUCUGAAAUAUGUGGUGGUGUAAGAAAGUGGUCUUACGGUGUUACCCGAUGAUGAGGAAGGGGAAAGGGAGCGGGGCCGGCAAUCUAAAAAUAGCAGGCAAGGAUUCCUUAUUUCCCUCUAUAUCUGAUUUGUUUAUUGACAUAUUUUUUUGAAAUCUUGUUUUGUUUCGGUAUUUCUGACAUUCUGAACUGCUGCUGCCUGGAGAGAGUCAAGAUGCUUUUCUUUUCUUUUCUCGGAGGAGGAUUCCUCUUUUCUUUUGUGUGUCCGUCGAUUCCAUCUUUUCAUCACAACUCAUUAAUUUCAACCAUCCUUGGUCACUUUUUCCAUCUUAUGGUCUUGCCCUAGCUAGCUAGCUAACAUCUCUUCUCUCGGUGGUGUUCCACCGGCCACCUAUAUCUGUUUUUCAUUGGUAUCGAUAUUGCCACUGCCCACUUGCCAUCUUCUGCCUGAAUGAGUCAAGUAAGAUGCUUGAAUACAUAUAUGAUUGAUCAAUGGGGUCAGACGAUAUAUUAAUUUAUUGCAAAGAUUAUGUUAAACGUUUUUGGCACAUGUCCAAAUAGUUUGAGAUUAAAAUUUAAUAAGCUGUAAUAUAAUGGAACAGGAACACUCUAUUAUCUCGAAGAUCACCAAUGCACACACUUCAACUCUCAUUAUUCUCUCAAAUCACCAUAAAUCAACACAUGUCACAUGUCUAUGAAAACAAGAUUUAGUUUUUUCCCCGUCCUAGAAAAAAGACCAGGAAAACAGGCGUUUUCAGAGCAAAAUCCUGCUCAAUCUUGACUCGUUCUUUUUUUUUUUUUGGGAUAACCAAAAAAGUAUGUGUGAUGAAAAGCUUAAUUGUGGGCUUGGCAAAACACAUAAUUCAUCCAUCUCAGGUUGAUCGAUGAACAUAAUUGCAU
rnacentral:lncRNA from 1 species